AUUGAACGCUGGCGGCAUGCCUUACACAUGCAAGUCGAACGGCAGCACGGGGGCAACCCUGGUGGCGAGUGGCGAACGGGUGAGUAAUACAUCGGAACGUAUCCUGUAGCGGGGGAUAACCUCUCGAAAGAGAGGCUAAUACCGCAUACGACCUACGGGUGAAAGAGGGGGAUCGCAAGACCUCUCACUAUUGGAGCGGCCGAUGUCGGAUUAGCUAGUUGGCGGGGAACGGCCCACCAAGGCUACGAUCCGUAGCUGGUCUGAGAGGACGACCAGCCACACUGGAACUGAGACACGGUCCAGACUCCUACGGGAGGCAGCAGUGGGGAAUUUUGGACAAUGGGCGCAGGCCUGAUCCAGCCAUGCCGCGUGAGUGAUGAAGGCCCUAGGGUUGUAAAGCUCUUUUACCCGGGAAGAUAAUGACUGUACCGGGAGAAUAAGCCCCGGCUAACUUCGUGCC
rnacentral:rRNA from 1 species